rnacentral:miRNA from 1 species
CAUCAUUUAGAAACCUUUUAGA